rnacentral:rRNA from 1 species
UACGUAGGGGGCUAGCGUUGUCCGGAUUUAUUGGGCGUAAAGAGCGUGUAGGCGGCCAGGUAGGUCUGCUGUGAAAACUCGAGGCUCAACCUCGAGACGUCGGCGGAAACCAUCUGGCUAGAGUCCGGAAGAGGAGAGUGGAAUUCCUGGUGUAGCGGUGAAAUGCGCAGAUAUCAGGAGGAACAUCAGUGGCGAAAGCGGCUUCCUGGACCAGAACUGACGAUCAGGCACGAAAGCGUGGGGAGCAAACAGG